AGAAACAUGAUUCAAAACUUCAACUGUGAAAUAACAUAUAAAGAAAAAACCAAAAACCAAACAACCCCAAAUCAUAACAGAUGUAAUAUUCUAAUUUUAAUAUCGAUUGGAUUCGGAGUCUGUUUGAGCAUACAUAGACGCCACUAUGUAGUUUGUGUCCACUGUGGUACAUUGCCCAUGUAAAAGAACUUACACCGCCUUGGUAGAAAACUAACACAGCACAUAACCCUGAACACACACUCUUCAUUGUGAACAUUUGGUGGCAGCCCCUUCUUCAGCAGAGACAUAGAGGUUGGUCAGAGUUGAUGAAAAGGAUGGAUGGAGCAACAAAAACUGCAAUUCUGUAAGAAAAUCCUGAUAGAGUAAAAUCAUACGUUUUUGGUUAUUUGACAAAAUGGGAGAAGGUUCUAGUGGUAUGUACACUUUUCCCCAGCACAGUAUAUGUGUUGGUAUCUUUAUCCUGUACAUGAGAGACUUCAAACAUAAACAAGCCUUGCAACACCAUACUGACUGCAACCUGAUUCUGGGAAUCAAAUUCCAGCCUGUCACUCAGAUGCCACUCUAUCGCAUACAUACACAAAGACGCUUCUGCCUUAGGAGGACCCAAUAUGGUUUCACAGAGAGUGAUUUAAUGUAAAUUAUAUCAGGUCUUGACUGGAGCCACAAUGGAAGAAAACUUUAGCACAAUAGAAUUUUCAAUAUUUACCUAACUUCUUUCUUCACUUCUGUUUACUCCCUUCAUGGCACUGUGCUGUUACUUAUUCAGCUGCUCUGUCCUGUUAUUUUACUCUGGGAUAUUUCCUUUUGUUCUAUUUAACGACAACAGCAUUGGGUGUUGUUUGUGUAGCUUCUAUGGCAGCUGCCACAAACAUAUGGCAAUAAUACAGAAUUCACGCCUAAUCCUGGUGAACAUAAAAGAGACUGUGAUUGAGGAUGAGCUCAAUGAACCCUGUGGUGUAAAAGCUCUGUGCAGGCGUUGGAGGGUUUGUUUCAUUCAGUGUUGUUACCUGUAAGUUUAUAUGCCGAACAGCAGCAUCCAGUGAAAAAAAAAAACAGCCUGCAAAGUCUUCAGCCCUGCAUGGAAAGGGAUCAGUGGUUUAAAGGUAUGUGGAUUAGGAAGGAAAAAGAGAAAAGAAAUAAGAGAGAACAAUGCAGGAGAUAAAUGUGAUUGUUCGCUGGUUAAAAUGGAAACAAGGGUGCUCCAGAUAAGGAAAUAGAGAAUAAGGAAGAUCAAGAUUAAAUGUAAAUCUUCCCCAUGAUCUGGUCCAGCUGAGUCACUUACUGCAGAGCAACUGCAGAGUAGUGACACCCCACGACUGCCCUGCAUUAUUUCACAGCACAGGCUCAGAUGAAUUAUAAAACGAGCACAGUAACCGUCACCACUGUGUAGUACAGUGGGAGCCUGCUAAUGUGACAAACUGCAUCAGGCAUGUUGCAGGGCUAAGAGGAGUAAAUAUUAAAGAUCCCUAUUCAUGUUUGUUUUUUCAGUGAAGUUUAUUUUUAUUGUGCAAAUUAUUUAGUCAAAAGUCAACAUCUAGAAGCUGUGAGUUUCAUUCAUUAUAUAUUGGGUCUUUUUAUAUACAUUUUUGUAAUUGCACUAAUAUUUAAGGUAAAAUAAAUUUUAACACCCAACAAAGCUAACUUGAGUAUUUAAAUGAUGAUUCCACUUAUUAAGAAAAAAAAAAACUAUCCUAAACAAACUGGCCCUUUGUGCAAAAGUAAACCUAAUAAUUGGUUGUGCCACACUUGACAGAAUCAAUGGCCAUCAGGUGUUUGUGAUACUGCUAUAAAGGAAUUUUGGGUUUAAGGUCAUCCCCCCAGCCUCUCAAUCAGAUUUAAAUCUGGACUUUAACUAGGCUACUUGAAAUCCUUUAUGUUGUUUUAUGUUGUUUAGAGGUGGACUGGCUUGUGUCUUUUGAAUUAUUGUCUUUCUGCAGAACCGCUCGAGCUUAAUGUCCCAAAGCAGAAAAGCAGCUGUAGACCAUCACACCUUCACUAACUGCCUCUUAUAUUGUUCUUUUUCUGAAAUGUUGCAGGACAAACACCUUACAAACAAUACAUUUAUGUUUCAUCAAAACAAAGAAUUUUUUCCAUAAAGUCUAGAAUAGUAUCAAUAUGUUUCUUUGGCAAAUGUGUUCCAGUGGUUUUCACCUUGGAGCUCUUCAAUAGACGCCAUUUUGGCCCAGUCUCUUUCUUAUUGUUGAAUAAUAAACACUGGGAAGGUUCACCAGUAUGUCAUGUUUUCUCACUGUGUGGAUAGUGGCCUUCACUAUGGUUCACUGGAGUCCCAAAGCCUUAUAAAUGGUUUUUGUAAUCUUUUCUACACUGAUGUCAGUGACUUUGUGAUCUGUUCCUGAUGACACCACAGCAAAAACAGGAGCAAUCUGUACUUAUUAACAGCACUGUAUAUCUUUGACAAUCUACUUUCAACUUAAAAUUUAUUUAUUUGUAUAUGAAUCAUUUCUUUAUGUGAUUUAAUGAAUAAUCCAAGAAAAAAGGCCUUUGACAUUGACUGUUACAGUGCCUAGCAUAACACAGAUACAUAAUAAGGUCCCUUAAAUCCAAAGCACACAGACAGUGCAAACGUAUCUGGCAUAUUUUGUGCUACGAUGCAAAAGACUGAUUUAGAUUAACUGCAACUUAAAUGGUUUUGGCUGUGCAAGUGUAUUAUUCUAUUCAACUUCCCAGCUUUACUGGGACACAGUGAUAAAAUAGAGCCAGAUUAACAACCCAAAUAGCCAAACUCCUGCCAUAGGACUAGUGGUUUGUUAGACAAUUUACAGCCUUGGUUAAUAAAGACAGAUCACCAGUGACUCUACAUAAACUCUACAAUUCAAUCCCUUCUAUUUGCUUGCAAUGACCUUUCCAACUUUGAUAUGAUGCGUAAAAUGUUUUUGGUGCGAAGAUGUAAGGGCUACAAUUUAGAACUAGCAGUGAGACAAGAAUACAUGUUGAAAAUAACAGAGACAACACUCAGCCAAACAAUUCAUCCAGUCAGAUAUGGCAGCCUUACAUGCUUACGCACUCACCAUCCCCUGCAUGAUAUCAGGAAGUUAGGAAAAUAGGAACAGACUUGAAAAUGCCCUCUUUGCUUUAUCUGCUGCAGGGGAGUUUGAUUUGAUUACCUGAACAUCGAGCUCGAAAGGGCAGUCUGUUUUAAGACCUAAGUGGCAUUUUCUGGCAGCACUCCAUUGGCUAUAACGACAACAAAUGAUACAGCAGCCUUUAUAUCAGGCUAAGGUUGUCCUUGCGGGGAGAAACUGUGAUACUUUAAAACUAUUUAUAGGAAAUGUUCUAUAUUGCAUCUCAGAAAAUGAUAGACAUGACAUAAAACAAAAAGACUUUGAGAGCUGGAGCAGGGAUUCCACAGAGUAGAUACAAACACUGCUGUCCCUGAAAUGUGGAAUUAUUACAUGUAAAAUGCACUACAACAAACAACCAAAAAACACUUAGAGCAAAGAGCAAUGAUUUCACAGCAUUUGACAGGUACUGAGUAAGGAUUUAGUUUAGUAUAAGAAAAGAUUAGUGGUUAUAACAGUUUUCAGACAAAUUGUGAGAUUGAACAAAUAAAGCCUAAUUCAUACCUCCUAGUCCAGUCUACAGCAAAAUCAAUGUAAUGUAAUUUUAAAAAAUAUGAUUGCUGCCUAUCAGGGUCUCCAAGGGUCCUCUGCGGACGUCCAUAUUGCCUGUAUGCACGAGCGGGGAUAGUGAUACUCUCAGCCAGAGGGUGGCACAUACACAGCAGAUGAAGAAAACAAGGGGUCAGACCAGUGGAGAGAGAUCUGCUUUUAUAUCUACUAAAAGACAUGCAAUAAAACUGCAACCCACUGCAAACUACCUAAUCUUAGCAUAAAACAUGUAAGUUAUCAUGUUAAUUUUUGUAAAAAUGCUUUUUUGCCCUUCUAUUUUAAAUGUAGCUCAUCAUUGUCAAGUGUUGUUUCAGGAGUAAAACUGCCAUGCCCUCAUUACAAUCCUGUUUCUCUGCCGUGUGUUUAUAUGGCAUACAACGAGGCAUUUCAGCAUUGUCUUUUUAUGAAUCUGAUACUAUAGGUAUCUGCCAGAUUUUUGUACAUGCCAAAAAAAAUCCAUUGCAUCAGCAUCACAAAGUAGAGAUGACAUUUAUAUUGCAUCUAUAGAAUUAAUGUAAAUUCUACACAGAUAUCACAACGAUGACCCGAUAACAUUAUUAAUGUAUGCUAUGCAGACACAAUAUCUAGACUGAUCAAUGAUUCACUCACCCUGGCAUGCCAAAGGCUUGGGAUGACCGACUCGGCAGGGACAUGGGAUCAAUUUUCGGAAAUAUUCAGCUUGUGUUUAUUUAAUCACUUGAGGGCACACAGACCUUAUGCAGGCCUCUCAACUUUCAGCCUAAGAUGCCUUCAGCUUCUGAGAACCUUCCACCUAAAGGAGAAUCUUCAAUGCUACUUCUGACCUCCUGCCUUUUGCCUCCCAGCCUGUCCACCCUCCAACCUUGCAUGCCACCCACUCAGCACAACCACCUCUUCUGUCGACCCUUAGUCUCCAUGGCAUUACUUACCUCCUCCGGACAAACCACUCCUUCAUCCCACAUGCCCCGACCCGGAAGAACCAGACUCCUGGACCACACCUUGAAGUUUACCUGUGUUUCAAUAAACCUGUUUAACCUUCAUCCUGUCUCUGUAAUUGUUGCUUGCUCUAGAGUCUUCUGUUCAGUAAUCAUGACAGAUUUUUAUUAUUCUGAAAAUUAGUUAAAAUGUAAUCUUUACCCAUUUUAGAAAUGUAUACAUAAAUAUACUGAGAAAAAGAUUAAAAUCUGUUAAUGUUGAAUUUCUGAAUUAACAAAACUAAGUCCUUUGUAAUGAAUAACCUCUGUUAAUCCCUGUCUUCAUAUUGUCCAAGUCUCUUUGGAGGGUUUUCUUCUCCUCACUCUGAGAAGGAGAUUUUUUUUUUUUUACCGUUGAGUGAAAACACUUAAAAUUUGACCU